UAGCGGCGAGCGAACGGGGAGGAGCCCAGAGCCUGAAUCAGCAUGUGUGUUAGUGGAAGCGUCUGGAAAGGCGCGCGAUACAGGGUGACAGCCCCGUACACAAAAGCGCAUGUGCUGUGAGCUCGAUGAGUAGGGCGGGACACGUGGUAUCCUGUCUGAAUAUGGGGGGACCAUCCUCCAAGGCUAAAUACUCCUGACUGACCGAUAGUGAACCAGUACCGUGAGGGAAAGGCGAAAAGAACCCCGGCGAGGGGAGUGAAAAAGAACCUGAAACCGUGUACGUACAAGCAGUGGGAGCACCCUUUUGGGUGUGACUGCGUACCUUUUGUAUAAUGGGUCAGCGACUUAUAUUCUGUAGCAAGGUUAACCGAAUAGGGGAGCCGGAGGGAAACCGAGUCUUAAUUGGGCGUUAAGUUGCAGGGUAUAGACCCGAAACCCGGUGAUCUAGCCAUGGGCAGGUUGAAGGUUGGGUAACACUAACUGGAGGACCGAACCGACUAAUGUUGAAAAAUUAGCGGAUGACCUGUGGCUGGGGGUGAAAGGCCAAUCAAACCGGGAGAUAGCUGGUUCUCCCCGAAAGCUAUUUAGGUAGCGCCUCGUGAAUUCAUCUCCGGGGGUAGAGCACUGUUUCGGCUAGGGGGCCAUCCCGGCUUACCAACCCGAUGCAAACUGCGAAUACCGGAGAAUGUUAUCACGGGAGACACACGGCGGGUGCUAACGUCCGUCGUGAAGAGGGAAACAACCCAGACCGCCAGCUAAGGUCCCAAAGUCAUGGUUAAGUGGGAAACGAUGUGGGAAGGCCCAGACAGCCAGGAUGUUGGCUUAGAAGCAGCCAUCAUUUAAAGAAAGCGUAAUAGCUCACUGGUCGAGUCGGCCUGCGCGGAAGAUGUAACGGGGCUAAACCAUGCACCGAAGCUGCGGCAGCGACGCUGAUGCGUUGUUGGGUAGGGGAGCGUUCUGUAAGCCUGCGAAGGUGGCCUGUGAGGGUUGCUGGAGGUAUCAGAAGUGCGAAUGCUGACAUAAGUAACGAUAAAGCGGGUGAAAAGCCCGCUCGCCGGAAGACCAAGGGUUCCUGUCCAACGUUAAUCGGGGCAGGGUGAGUCGACCCCUAAGGCGAGGCCGAAAGGCGUAGUCGAUGGGAAACGGGUUAAUAUUCCCGUACUUGGUGUUACUGCGAAGGGGGGACGGAGAAGGCUAUGUUGGCCGGGCGACGGUUGUCCCGGUUUAAGCGUGUAGGUGUGUGUUCCAGGUAAAUCCGGUUCACUUUAACACUGAGGCGUGAUGACGAGGCACUACGGUGCUGAAGCAACAAAUGCCCUGCUUCCAGGAAAAGCCUCUAAGCAUCAGGUAACAUCAAAUCGUACCCCAAACCGACACAGGUGGUCAGGUAGAGAAUACCAAGGCGCUUGAGAGAACUCGGGUGAAGGAACUAGGCAAAAUGGUGCCGUAACUUCGGGAGAAGGCACGCUGACACGUAGGUGAAGUGAUUUACUCACGGAGCUGAAGUCAGUCGAAGAUACCAGCUGGCUGCAACUGUUUAUUAAAAACACAGCACUGUGCAAACACGAAAGUGGACGUAUACGGUGUGACGCCUGCCCGGUGCCGGAAGGUUAAUUGAUGGGGUCAGCGCAAGCGAAGCUCCUGAUCGAAGCCCCGGUAAACGGCGGCCGUAACUAUAACGGUCCUAAGGUAGCGAAAUUCCUUGUCGGGUAAGUUCCGACCUGCACGAAUGGCGUAAUGAUGGCCAGGCUGUCUCCACCCGAGACUCAGUGAAAUUGAACUCGCUGUGAAGAUGCAGUGUACCCGCGGCAAGACGGAAAGACCCCGUGAACCUUUACUAUAGCUUGACACUGAACAUUGAGCCUUGAUGUGUAGGAUAGGUGGGAGGCUUUGAAGCGUGGACGCCAGUCUGCGUGGAGCCGACCUUGAAAUACCACCCUUUAAUGUUUGAUGUUCUAACGUGGACCCGUUACCCGGGUUGCGGACAGUGUCUGGUGGGUAGUUUGACUGGGGCGGUCUCCUCCUAAAGAGUAACGGAGGAGCACGAAGGUUGGCUAAUCCUGGUCGGACAUCAGGAGGUUAGUGCAAUGGCAUAAGCCAGCUUGACUGCGAGCGUGACGGCGCGAGCAGGUGCGAAAGCAGGUCAUAGUGAUCCGGUGGUUCUGAAUGGAAGGGCCAUCGCUCAACGGAUAAAAGGUACUCCGGGGAUAACAGGCUGAUACCGCCCAAGAGUUCAUAUCGACGGCGGUGUUUGGCACCUCGAUGUCGGCUCAUCACAUCCUGGGGCUGAAGUAGGUCCCAAGGGUAUGGCUGUUCGCCAUUUAAAGUGGUACGCGAGCUGGGUUUAGAACGUCGUGAGACAGUUCGGUCCCUAUCUGCCGUGGGCGCUGGAGAACUGAGGGGGGCUGCUCCUAGUACGAGAGGACCGGAGUGGACGCAUCACUGGUGUUCGGGUUGUCAUGCCAAUGGCACUGCCCGGUAGCUAAAUGCGGAAGAGAUAAGUGCUGAAAGCAUCUAAGCACGAAACUUGCCCCGAGAUGAGUUCUCCCUGAGACUUAGAGUCUCCUGAAGGAACGUUGAAGACGACGACGUUGAUAGGCCGGGUGUGUAAGCGCAGCGAUGCGUUGAGCUAACCGGUACUAAUGAACCGUGAGGCUUAACCUUACAACGCCGAAG
rnacentral:rRNA from 1 species